rnacentral:misc_RNA from 1 species
AGCAGCCGCGGUAAUUCCAGCUCCAAUAGCGUAUAUUAAAGUUGUUGCAGUUAAAAAGCUCGUAGUUGAAUUUCGGGGUCAAUUUGCUGGUCGUGCCUCUGGUACGUACUGGUAUUAUUGGUUUCUCCCUUCUGACGAACCAUGAUGUCAUUAAUUUGAUGUCGUGGAGAAUCAGGACUGUUACUUUGAAAAAUUAGAGUGUUUAAAGCAGGCAUUAGCUUGAAUACAUUAGCAUGGAAUAAUGAAAUAGGACGUUUGAUCCUAUUUUGUUGGUUUCUAGGAUUGACGUAAUGAUUAAUAGGGAUAGUUGGGGGCAUUAGUAUUCAAUUGUCAGAGGUGAAAUUCUUGGAUUUAUUGAAGACUAACUACUGCGAAAGCAUUUGCCAAGGAUGUUUUCAUUAAUCAAGAACGAAAGUUAGGGGAUCGAAGACGAUCAGAUACCGUCGUAGUCUUAACCAUAAACUAUGCCGACUAGGGAUCGGAUGAUGUUAAUUUUAAUGACUCAUUCGGUCG